AUUGAACGCUGGCGGCAGGCCUAACACAUGCAAGUCGAACGAGUGGCGGACGGGUGAGUAAUGUCUGUGAAACUGCCUGAUGGAGGGGGAUAACUACUGGAAACGGUAGCUAAUACCGCAUACCAUCAGAUGUGCCCAGAUGGGAGUAUCUUGUUGGUGGGGUAACGGGUCACCAAGGCGACGAUCCCUAGUUGGUCUGAGAGGAUGACCAGCCACACUGAAACUGAGAGACGGUCCAGACUCCUAGGGGAGGAAGCGGUGGGGAAUAUUGCAAAAGGGGCGAAAGCGUGAUGCAGCGAUGCAGCGUGUAUGAAGAAGGCCUUAGGGUUGUAAAGUACUUUAAGCGGGGAGGCGUUACCCGCAGAAGAAGCACCGGCUAACUCCGUGCCAGCCGCCGCGGUAAUAC
rnacentral:rRNA from 1 species